AUUGAACGCUGGCGGCAGGCCUAACACAUGCAAGUCGAGCGGAUGAGUGGAGCUUGCUCCAUGAUUCAGCGGCGGACGGGUGAGUAAUGCCUAGGAAUCUGCCUGGUAGUGGGGGACAACGUUUCGAAAGGAACGCUAAUACCGCAUACGUCCUACGGGAGAAAGUGGGGGAUCUUCGGACCUCACGCUAUCAGAUGAGCCUAGGUAGGAUUAGCUAGUUGGUGAGGUAAAGGCUCACGAAGGCAACGAUCCGUAACUGGUCUGAGAGGAUGAUCAGUCACACUGGAACUGAGACACGGUCCAGACUCCUACGGGAGGCAGCAGUGGGGAAUAUUGGGCAAUGGGCGAAAGCCUGAUCCAGCCAUGCCGCGUGUGUGAAGAAGGUCUUCGGAUUGUAAAGCACUUUAAGUUGGGAGGAAGGGCAGUAAGUUAAUACCUUGCUGUUUUGACGUUACCAACAGAAUAAGCACCGGCUAAUUUCGUGCCAGCCGCCGCAGUAAGAC
rnacentral:rRNA from 1 species